rnacentral:rRNA from 1 species
GACGAACGCUGGCGGCGUGCUUAACACAUGCAAGUCGAGCGGUAAGGCCUUUCGGGGUACACGAGCGGCGAACGGGUGAGUAACACGUGGGUGAUCUGCCCUGCACUUCGGGAUAAGCCUGGGAAACUGGGUCUAAUACCGGAUAUGACCUCCUAUCGCAUGGUGGGUGGUGGAAAGAUUUAUCGGUGCAGGAUGGGCCCGCGGCCUAUCAGCUUGUUGGUGGGGUAAUGGCCUACCAAGGCGACGACGGGUAGCCGACCUGAGAGGGUGACCGGCCACACUGGGACUGAGACACGGCCCAGACUCCUACGGGAGGCAGCAGUGGGGAAUAUUGCACAAUGGGCGAAAGCCUGAUGCAGCGACGCCGCGUGAGGGAUGACGGCCUUCGGGUUGUAAACCUCUUUCAGCAGGGACGAAGCGCAAGUGACGGUACCUGCAGAAGGAGCACCGGCUAACUACGUG